rnacentral:rRNA from 1 species
ACCUGCAGUCAGGGGGCCCGCAAGGGCAACCGGCGAACGGGUGCGUAACACGUGAGCGACCUGCCCGCUUGUGGGGGAUAGCCGGCCCAACGGCCGGGUAAUACCGCAUACGCUUUGGCUCCGGCAUCGGGGCCUUCGGAAAGAUUUAUCGCAGGCGGAGGGGCUCGCGGCCUAUCAGCUAGUUGGCGAGGUAACGGCUCACCAAGGCGACGACGGGUAGCUGGUCUGAGAGGAUGGCCAGCCACAUUGGGACUGAGAGACGGCCCAGACUCCUACGGGAGGCAGCAGUGGGGAAUCUUGCGCAAUGGGCGAAAGCCUGACGCAGCGACGCCGCGUGGGGGA